rnacentral:rRNA from 1 species
AUUGAACGCUGGCGGCAUGCUUUACACAUGCCAGUCGAACGGCAGCGCGGGCUUCGGCCUGGCGGCGAGUGGCGAACGGGUGAGUAAUGCAUCGGAACGUGCCCAGUAGUGGGGGAUAGCCCGGCGAAAGCCGGAUUAAUACCGCAUACGACCUGAGGGUGAAAGCGGGGGACCGAAAGGCCUCGCGCUAUUGGAGCGGCCGAUGUCGGAUUAGCUAGUUGGUGGGGUAAAGGCUUACCAAGGCGACGAUCCGUAGCUGGCCUGAGAGGACGACCAGCCACACUGGGACUGAGACACGGCCCAGACUCCUACGGGAGGCAGCAGUGGGGAAUUUUGGACAAUGGGGGCAACCCUGAUCCAGCCAUGCCGCGUGCGGCAAGAAGGCCUUCGGGUUGUAAACCGCUUUUGUUCGGGAAGAAAUCCUCUGGGCUAAUACCCCGGGGGGAUGACGGUACCGGAAGAAUAAGCACCGGCUAACUACGUG